CCAUCAUUUCCUAACAUAUCCCGUCUUGAGUCAAGUGGACAUCAAUUUACAAAUUUAAACAUAAACAUUGGACUCCAUAUGGUUUCAUUAACUAUUCAUCUUUAUACCAACUUUCACUUUACAGAAGCAACCCUUUUAUUUAGUUAAUCAAGAAAAAUAGAUGAAAAUUAAUCGCAAAGGAAAAGGAGAACCAUAAUAAUUCGGAUUGCUAACGAACAAAAAGGGACAGUAACAAGACGUAACCAAAACUUAGAAGGUUUCAAAGGAAACAUUCAAGAUAUAAUAUCAGUUAAUCUUGAUUUCGAUUCAACUGGUUGAUCCUGUUUCUGGUAUUGAUUUGUCCAAGUAAAAUCUAUCCAUCACUAUCUUUUUUGUCUAUUACUAGAUUCCCUGAGUGAACAUCAAAAACAGAAGUAAAAUCAAAAGUCACCAAUGUUCAGAGGAGGGAAAAUCAUAACAUAAGAUGAACACAACCAGUAAAACAAUAAAAUAUCAGGUUAAUCCACAUUGACUUAUGGUGAUGAAAUUUUCCCGUUUUCUUGAUCAUUGGUCAAAUAAUCAAAAUGAACUUGAGGCAAAAAAAAGUAAACAAGAAUAAUGAUGUUGAUAUAACUUUGAUGUUGCUGAGUUAUUAAUUUCAAUCUUUCCUUUUCAC